rnacentral:rRNA from 1 species
AGUGAACGCUGGCGGUAGGCCUAACACAUGCAAGUCGAACGGCAGCACAGUAAGAGUUUGCUCUUACGGGUGGCGAGUGGCGGACGGGUGAGGAAUACAUCGGAAUCUACUUUUUCGUGGGGGAUAACGUAGGGAAACUUACGCUAAUACCGCAUACGACCUACGGGUGAAAGCAGGGGAUCUUCGGACCUUGCGCGAUUGAAUGAGCCGAUGUCGGAUUAGCUAGUUGGCAGGGUAAAGGCCCACCAAGGCGACGAUCCGUAGCUGGUCUGAGAGGAUGAUCGGCCACACUGGAACUGAGACACGGUCCAGACUCCUACGGGAGGCAGCAGUGGGGAAUAUUGGGCAAUGGGCGCAAGCCUGAUCCAGCCAUACCGCGUGAGUGAAGAAGGCCUUCGGGUUGUAAAGCCCUUUUGUUGGGAAAGAAAAGCAGCAGGUUAAUACCCCGCUGUUCUGACGGUACCCAAAGAAUAAGCACCGGCUAACUUCGUG